GCUUCACUCCACUGAAAUCUGA
rnacentral:miRNA from 1 species